UACGUAGGGGGCUAGCGUUGUCCGGAUUUAUUGGGCGUAAAGAGCGUGUAGGGGGCCAGGUAGGGCUGCUGUGAAAACUCGAGGCUCAACCUCGAGACGUCGGCGGAAACCAUCUGGCUAGAGUCCGGAAGAGGAGAGUGGAAUUCCUGGUGUAGCGGUGAAAUGCGUAGAUAUCUGGAGGAAUACCGGUGGCGAAGGCGGCAUCCUGGACCGACAUUGACGCUGAUGAGCGAAAGCUAGGGGAGCAAACGGG
rnacentral:rRNA from 1 species